CCUACGGGAGGCAGCAGUGAGGAAUAUUGGUCAAUGGACGAGAGUCUGAACCAGCCAAGUAGCGUGAAGGAUGACUGCCCUAUGGGUUGUAAACUUCUUUUAUAAAGGAAUAAAACGAGGCACGUGUGCCUUUUUGCAUGUACUUUAUGAAUAAGGAUCGGCUAACUCCGUGCCAGCAGCCGCGGUAAUACGGAGGAUCCGAGCGUUAUCCGGAUUUAUUGGGUUUAAAGGGAGCGUAGAUGGGUUGUUAAGUCAGUUGUGAAAGUUUGCGGCUCAACCGUAAAAUUGCAAUUGAUACUGGCAGUCGUGAGUACAGUUGAGGUAGGCGGAAUUCGUGGUGUAGCGGUGAAAUGCUUAGAUAUCACGAAGAACCCCGAUUGCGAAGGCAGCUUACUAAACUAUGACUGACAUUGAUGCUCGAAAGUGUGGGUAUCAAACAGGAUUAGAUACCCUGGUAGUC
rnacentral:rRNA from 1 species